rnacentral:rRNA from 2 species
CCUGAUCCCAUUCCGAACUCAGAAGUGAAACGAAAUAGCGCCGAUGGUAGUGUGGGGUUUCCCCAUGUGAGAGUAGGACAUCGCCAGGC